rnacentral:rRNA from 1 species
UACGAAGGGGGCUAGCGUUGUUCGGAAUACUGGGCGUAAGCGCGCGCAGGCGGUCCUUCAAGUCAGAGGUGAAAGCCCAGGGCUCAACCCUGGAACUGCCUUUGAAACUGGAGGACUUGAGUACGGGAGAGGUGAGUGGAAUUCCGAGUGUAGAGGUGAAAUUCGUAGAUAUUCGGAAGAACACCAGUGGCGAGGGCGGCUCACUGGCCCGUUACUGACGCUCAGGCGCGAAAGCGUGGGGAGCAACAGG